rnacentral:rRNA from 1 species
CCUACGGGCGGCAGCAGUGAGGAAUAUUGGUCAAUGGACGAGAGUCUGAACCAGCCAAGUAGCGUGAAGGAUGACUGCCCUAUGGGUUGUAAACUUCUUUUAUAUGGGAAUAAAAUGUUCCACGUGUGGGAUUUUGUAUGUACCAUAUGAAUAAGGAUCGGCUAACUCCGUGCCAGCAGCCGCGGUAAUACGGAGGAUCCGAGCGUUAUCCGGAUUUAUUGGGUUUAAAGGGAGCGUAGGUGGAUUGUUAAGUCAGUUGUGAAAGUUUGCGGCUCAACCGUAAAAUUGCAGUUGAAACUGGCAGUCGUGAGUACAGUAGAGGUGGGCGGAAGUCGUGGUGUAGCGGUGAAAUGCUUAGAUAUCACGAAGAACUCCGAUUGCGAAGGCAGCUCACUGGACUGCAACUGACACUGAGGCUCGAAAGUGUGGGUAUCAAACAGGAUUAGAGACCCCAGUAGUC